rnacentral:rRNA from 1 species
CCUACGGGUGGCAGCAGUAGGGAAUUUUCGUCAAUGGGCGCAAGCCUGAACGAGCAAUGCCGCGUGAACGAGGAAGGUCUUCGGAUCGUAAAGUUCUGUUGAAGGGGACAAAGAGCGGGGAGAGGAAAUGCUUUCUGAUUGAUAUUACCCUUCGAGGAAGUCACGGCUAACUACGUGCCAGCAGCCGCGGUAAUACGUAGGUGGAGAGCGUUAUCCGGAUUUACUGGGGGUAAAGGGCGUGUAGGCGGGAGUGCAAGUCAGAUGUGAAAACUAUGGGCUCAACCCAUAGCCUGCAUUUGAAACUGGACGUCUUGAGUGCUGGAGAGGCAAUCGGAAUUCCUUGUGUAGCGGUGAAAUGCGUAGAGAUACGGAGGAACACCAGUGGCGAAGGCGGAUUGCUGGACAGUAACUGACGCUGAGGCGCGAAAGCGUGGGGAGCAAACAGGAUUAGAUACCCGUGUAGUC